GACGAACGCUGGCGGCGUGCCUAAUACAUGCAAGUUGAGCGAUGAAGAUUGGUGCUUGCCCCAAUUUGAAGAGCAGCGAACGGGUGAGUAACGCGUGGGGAAUCUGCCUUUGAGCGGGGGACAACAUUUGGAAACGAAUGCUAAUACCGCAUAACAACUUUAAACAUAAGUUUUAAGUUUGAAAGAUGCAAUUGCAUCACUCAAAGAUGAUCCCGCGUUGUAUUAGCUAGUUGGUGAGGUAAAGGCUCACCAAGGCGAUGAUACAUAGCCGACCUGAGAGGGGGAUCGGCCACAUUGGGACUGAGACACGGCCCAAACUCCUACGGGAGGCAGCAGUAGGGAAUCUUCGGCAAUGGACGAAAGUCUGACCGAGCAACGCCGCGUGAGUGAAGAAGGUUUUCGGAUCGUAAAACUCGGUUGGUAGAGAAGAACGUUGGUGAGAGUGGAAAGCUCAUCAAGUGACGGUAACUACCCAGAAAGGGACGGCUAACUACGUG
rnacentral:rRNA from 1 species